ACGGCUUCAGUUACACGUGGUUAACCUGCCCUAAGGUGGAGAAUACUCCCGGGGAACUGGGGCUAAUGCUCCAUAGUGGAUGUAUCCUGGAAUGGUGCAUCCUCGAAAGAUCCGUCGCCUUAGGAUGGGACUGCGUCCGAUUAGGUUGUUGGCGGGGUAACGGCCCACCAAGCCAUUGAUCGGUACGGGUUGUGGGAGCAAGAUCUCGGAGAUGGAUUCUGAGACAUGAAUCCAGGCCCUAUGGGGCGCAGCAGGCGCGCAAACUUUACAAUGCGAGCAAUCGUGAUAAGGAAACCCUGAGUGCCUGUCGAUGUAGGUUGUUCAUAUAUCUAAAUCAUAUGUGAAGAAAGGGCAGGGCAAGACCGGUGCCAGCCGCCGCGGUAAUACCGGCUGCUCGAGUGAUGGCCACUAUUACUGGGUUUAAAGCGUCCGUAGCUUGACUAUUAGGUCUCUUGGGAAAUCUUCACGUUUAACGUGAAGGCGUCUAAGAGAUACCGGUAGUCUUGGAACUGGGAGAGGUAAACCGUACUUCGGGGGUAGGAGUGAAAUCUUGUAAUCCUCGAGGGACGACCUAUGGCGAAGGCAGUUUACCAGAACAGCUUCGACAGUGAGGGACGAAAGCUGGGGGAGUAAACGGGAUUAGAUAUCCCGGUAGUCCCAGCCGUAAACAAUGUGCGUUAGGUGUGUCGGUAACCAUGUGUUACUGAUGCGCCGAAGAGAAAUCGUGAAACGCACCACCUGGGAAGUACGGUCGUAAGGCUGAAACUUAAAGGAAUUGGCGGGGGAGCAC
rnacentral:rRNA from 1 species